rnacentral:snRNA from 1 species
GUGCUCACUUAUGUAGCACAUAUGCCAAAAUUGGAAUGAUACAGAGAUUAAUAUGAUCUCUGCACAAGAAUGACACACAAAUUUGUGAAGUAGUCAUUAUUUUU